UGCUGCUGCUGGGCUUGUGGUCUGGUCUGCAGCCUUCUCGCCUGAACCGCUCACCUCCCAAGCUGCUUGCAAACUGAAUAAAGCUCUCCCAAAGUCAAGCUGAUCGCUCCUUUCCCUGAGAAACAUGCCUCUGUCCCUGCUUCUUGGGGUCUCCCCAGCCCACCAUCUCCCCUUGGACACAGAGUGCCAGAGCACUAGCAGGGAGAAGUGGCAAAGUUUCAAGAUUUCAUUUGUAAUUCUUUUCAGAUGAAAUGUCAGAAAUAUUAGAAAGGCAGAGUCAUAAAUCUGAUCCUAAUAUAGCAUAGAGCUUAUUAAUGAAGAAU
rnacentral:lncRNA from 1 species